CGAUCACGGCGGCUAUGUCGAAGAGUACAAGGCAAAGUAUCAGCGCAUCCGCGCUCGCGGCGAGCGCGUCAUCAUCGACGGCAUCUGCAAUUCGGCCUGCACGAUGGUGUUCGGCAUCGUGCCGAUGAACAAGAUCUGCGUCACGCCGCGCGCCAGUCUUGGUUUUCAUCUGGCCUACUACGACAAGGCCUUUACGUUCGGCAUGAAGAUCAACAGCAGCGAGGGGACAUCGGACUUGAUGUCGUACUAUCCUCCGA
rnacentral:misc_RNA from 1 species